rnacentral:rRNA from 1 species
UACAGAGGUCUCAAGCGUUGUUCGGAUUCAUUGGGCGUAAAGGGUGCGUAGGUGGCGCCGUAAGUCAGGUGUGAAAUUUCGGAGCUUAACUCCGAAACUGCAUUUGAUACUGCGGUGCUUGAGGACUGGAGAGGAGACUGGAAUUUACGGUGUAGCAGUGAAAUGCGUAGAGAUCGUAAGGAAGACCAGUGGCGAAGGCGGGUCUCUGGACAGUUCCUGACACUGAGGCACGAAGGCGUGGGGAGCAAACAGG